rnacentral:snoRNA from 1 species
GUGAUGUGGGCUGGUAUUACAGAGACGUGACGAUAGACACCAAUUCUGA